AACCUCAACAAAUUCUGUGCUCCCCCAAUUCAAUCAUCAAUGGCGGUCAAGAUUAAUGAGUUGGAUAAUGACAACAAAGAAAACAUCCCACCAAUUAUUUCUCCGAAUAAAUCGAGCCCCGAUUUUCAAUCUAAAUUCCCGAAGAUGAAUGAGUGCAUAAGAAGAAGAAGAACGCCUUUAAGAGAUAUUACUCAUCUUUACAAGGCAGGUGCUCAGAUUCGUCAGGCUGACGUCAGCCUGACGAAUCUGCCCUCCUCUGUUUUGGUUUCUGUCGUCGUUUCGACUAAUCGGAAAAGAAAAUCAGCCGAUGAUAAUUCUGGGAUCGAGUCUUGCUCCAAGAUUCUGCGAAGAGAUUUUAGAUAGAUAGAUAGAUUCAAUUAUGUUGUAGCUUAUAUACUACAAGAUCUUUUUUUUUUUUUUUGUGUGUAAUAAUUAAUCUAGAUUCUAUAUUUUCAUAGAAAGAAAAUGAAAAUGAACAGAGUUCAUAAUUGUGAAAGAUUAAAC
rnacentral:lncRNA from 1 species